UACGGAGGGUGCUAGCGUUGUUCGGAAUCACUGGGCGUAAAGGGCGCGUAGGCGGCUUUGCAAGUGACGGGUGAAAUCCCUCGGCUUAACCGAGGAACUGCCUGUCAAACUGCAUGGCUUGAGACCAGGAGAGGUGAGUGGAAUUCCCAGUGUAGCGGUGAAAUGCGUAGAUAUUGGGAGGAACACCAGUGGCGAAGGCGGCUCACUGGACUGGUACUGACGCUGAUGCGCGAAAGCGUGGGGAGCAAACAGG
rnacentral:rRNA from 1 species